AAGAGCAGAGGAGACAGCAAGGUCCGGGGUGUGGGGCCGGGAGACAGCAGGGGGCACUAAGGACCAGGCGGCCUGAGGCAUCGGGAGAAGACAGGAAUGAAGAGAGAAGAGAUGGGCUGCCAUGAGGACUGAAUGAUCAUGGAAGAUGAUGGACUGAAUUGAUAAUUCACGAGUUUAAGCCAGUGCCUGGUGUGUGCACAGCAUGUGGGAAUCUUAGUUCCCCAACCAGGGAUCGAACCCAUGACCCCCCUGCAAUGGAAGGGCAGAAUCUUAGCCACUGGACCAGCAGGGAAGUUGCCUCACUUCUAAGAGGAGCUAAUCACAGCACCCACCGCUGGGUUGCCUGGGACUGUGGGUGUCAAGAGGGAGGCUCAUAAAACGCUGUCCCAGAUGUUGGGAACUUGGACGCCAGCUCCAGGAGGGCGGGGGCCUCUUCUGUUACAGUCACCCGAGUUCCUGGGGCCUGGAACAGGGCCUGGCACAUCGCAACUGCCCAAGACAUACUUGCCGAAUGAAUGACCAAAUGGAUGAAUGCAGAGAUAUAAAUGAAAGGAAUCGCAGCUAAGUCCUUCUCCACAGGACAGACAGCCCUUCACAGCUGCACCUCUGCCCAACUAACCAGCUGGA